GUCAGUAGUAGUCACACACCUUGGUAGCCAUACAGCACCAAAGAUUUCUGAUUUUCCUACAGAAAACAAAGAUGUAUUUGGAUUCACAUCCAGUGCAAUAGCUAGGGUAUUGCACGGGGUGCAAUAGCUUUAAUAUCAGCCAUGGAUUAAAUCUAAUGCUCAGAAAAUUGACACGUUAUAUCUCCACGCUGGCAAUCCGAGUGCUUCAAUUUUUCUCCUCUUUUUUUCUCUUUUCACUUCAGCAAUUCAGCUUUCUCAAAUAUGAGUUUCAAAAGAAAAAAAACUCUCUUGGAGACUCUAAAUCCAUGGCCGAAUCUCAGUGGGCCUCAGCUCAUCCCACACCACCACCACCACCGGCUAUGCUUCCCGGUCUAGGCUUCUCCUCUUUCAAGUCUUGAGGGAGAUUCGUCAUAUUGAGAAAUGCGACAAGCUAUUCUUCAAAAUUGGUUAAAUCAUUCAAGAGAGAUUCAUCUUGUGUAGUGGAAAAAUCAAAACAAAUUGAAGUUUCGAAUGGACUUGUCUCGGCCAUGGCAUCAUUCAGGAGAUUCAUCUCUUGCCUUCCAUUGUUGCCAUUGUAUAAUUGAAUUGCUGUGCAAGUUGUAUUUUCAUGUAGUAACUGAUUUUUUGUGUUGAUGAAUAGAUGAAAUGUAAACAAAUUUGUUUUGCAAAUAGCAUGUUGUGAUGGAGUUCUAUUAUUA